AGUGAACGCUGGCGGUAGGCCUAACACAUGCAGGUCGAACGGCAGCACAGGAGAGCUUGCUCUCUGGGUGGCGAGUGGCGGACGGGUGAGGAAUACAUCGGAAUCUACCUUUUCGUGGGGGAUAACGUAGGGAAACUUACGCUAAUACCGCAUACGACCUACGGGUGAAAGUGGGGACCGCAAGGCCUCACGCGAUUAGA
rnacentral:rRNA from 1 species